CAGUGCCUCUAAGGCACGGCUGAAUUUUUCAGUUUUACCCCCAGCAUUGAUUUUGGCCGCGGGGGCCUAGGUACCAUGUAUCCUUGACAACACAACAGAGGCGCUGAGGUGACGCUCUUACUUCAGAUAUGGCGAAUUUUGUGAGCGAAUUUCGUAGUUUUAGAGUGUAUAACAAAGGAAAUUGGCCGAAAUAUCAUGGAAUAAAUGGUCUGCAAGUAGUUUCUUUCGGAAUGUCUAUUGCGGGGAAAAGAGAGGGAGACGGUCCCCCGAAGAAUUGCCUGCUGUCUCUCAGUAAGGGAUAUGGCCUCCAAAUUCAGAGUGUAGGCCAAGUCGCUGGUCAUGUCACAGUGUACUUCACAGUGUUUGCUGGCUCAAACGACAAUGCUCUACGCCCACGCUCCCAUCCUCUAAUGGACUGUCCACUUCCAUAACAUCUAAUAAUUAAUUGUUUUGUGUUGCAAGUUUAUCCCUGGAACAGAUGACAGGGCACUGGCAAGUGAACACUGGUACUGUUCUUGGAAACUUUCCUCAUAUUGCUCAAAGAGAGCUCUUGCAACAUUUGUAGCAUCACGUUUUCGUGCUUUUACAGUAGGGGUUGCAUUUCGCAGACGCUGAGCCUCGUUGUUAGCGGCAAAUAUAAUAUUUUGCUUUGCUUUCCCCUUGAAGAAAUUUGAGGUGACUGGGAAGUAUGACAUAACCUCUGUGUAUCUGAUUGCACAGGCUUUACAGUUCUGAAAUGAAUGUUCCUUUCUUCUAUUUUCAGAUAAACCUUGCCAUUUCUCUCUAGAGAAAGUCUCCAUAAACUUUGAUUUUUCCUCA